AAUAGCCUAACGGCUGAACCAGCAACUUGGAAGAAUGUAAAAGCGAAAGCGAAUUGUAUAAAUACAAAUUAACUAUGUUAAAUAAAGUUCUAGAUAUAAUACUGAUGAUGACAUAUUGUAUCUAUAAGUCUUGACCAAGUCACGUGCCAGCAGUCGCGGUAAUACGUGGAAGACUAGUGUUAUUCAUCUUUAAUAGGUUUAAAGGGUACCUAGACAGUUAAUUAAGCCAUAAAGGUACUAAUAAACUAGAGUUUGAUAUGAGAAGGGGAGUACGAUGAGUGUAGAGAUAAAAUUCGAUAAUACCAUUUAGAAACUGGUAACGGCGAAAGCAACCUUUUAUGUAAAAA
rnacentral:rRNA from 1 species